GUCUAGGUAGUAUAAAUAAUUACCCUGGUCUUGUAAACCAGAAAUGGGACCCAAUAAACCCCUAGACA